UACGGAGGGGGCUAGCGUUGUUCGGAAUUACUGGGCGUAAAGCGUACGUAGGCGGCUUUGUAAGUUAGAGGUGAAAGCCCGGGGCUCAACUCCGGAAUUGCCUUUAAGACUGCAUCGCUUAAAUCAUGGAGAGGUGAGUGGAAUUCCGAGUGUAGAGGUGAAAUUCGUAGAUAUUCGGAAGAACACCGGUGGCGAAGGCGGGUCUCUGGGCAUUUCCUGACGCUGAGGCGCGAAAGCGUGGGGAGCAAACGGG
rnacentral:rRNA from 1 species